UCCCUGGUAGUAUAUCGGUUAGUACACGCGCCUGUCAUGUGCCAAAAUAUCUCCGCCAGGCCGCGCGAAAGCUGGGUUCGACUCCCAGCCAGGGAG